AACCUUUGCCUGUCAGACCCAGUGUUAUGGGACUGAUCUUUCAUUUUGUUUUCAAAAUGGAUGCCCUAUAAUACCUUUAAACAUUACAAACCUAGGGUUUUUACCCUUAAGAUGCACCGGAUUGAAAAGGCUUCUUGGGAAGGAACGGUAUCCCCACUAGAGACACCAGACAAUCUGUGGAUGCUUAGUGCGUGGAACUUCCAUUUCCAAGAUGUCCUAAUGCUUUUUAAUCAUUGAAACUGACCAUGAGAAUCAUACACCCACAAUUCCAAAGAGCUUUGUGCUACAUUCGGGAACAUUCCUGCCGUUUAUUUUGAAUAUCAUUGGAAGGCAUCAUUUGAAGUCUGAUGGAAUUUCACUCCUAUUCAAAAGGAUGUCCAUUGCAACAAGUGUCUUUGUUGGACAAAGAAAAGCAGCUGAAAAUGUAAUAGUGAAGGGCAUACCUGGAAUAAGUGCUCAUUCUAAAAUGACUAGCUGUUCAGCCAUGUGUGGAUAGAGCUAAGCUGCUUUUUCCCAU